GUGCACCGUCACGGCUGCUUGCAGAACGCGAGGCCUCCGUGUCUUCUUGCGGGGAGGCAGCCUUUCGCCUCCCCCGGUGAGGCCUCCACGGCGGCGCGGCGCGCCGAGAGGACGCGGCCUCGCAUCCGCCUCGCCCUCUGAGGCGCCCAGGCCGGGCCGUUAGGCCUGACGUGCAGCGAUUCCUCCUCCGCGAGGUGCUCAACACCGCUGUGGGUUCGGCUCAGCGCAGCCGUCAGCGCAGCGGCCGAGCGGAGAGCCGCGCUGCAGUGCGCGAACCCGGCCGUUAGGGGGCGCUGCUGCCCACCGUCCCCUCGCUGUGCUCGUGGCUCCGCGUGCGGGGCGGACCGCGCGGUCUGGGUUUCGGCCGAGCCGGUGAUGAGGUGGCAGCAUGUUGUCCAGCAAAGGGAAAAACACCCUUUGCACUCACCUUCCUGGGAGGGUGAGUCUUUCACCGGGCUGGCAGUAAGCCUGCAUCAGCAGCACAAAGGAGGAAAAUGUUGUGCAGAACCCUGGGGUUGGAUCAUCCCCUAGAGGCAGCUUUGGCGAGAAGGCAGCUGUGAAGUCGGACCUCAAACUGAACUCGUGUCUGUUUGUAGAAGAUCUGUUCUGUGCACUGAUGGGCUGAACCAGCAGACUUGACGGCAGCACGCUUCCGUAGAAAAUAAAGGUUGGUAUACAAAAAGGGAGGAGAUGUUACUGCAGCCAGCAUGGUGGCAGCUUUGUCAAUACAGAUAGGCUCCAAAAAGCAGUCACAGGGAAAAGCACAUGGAGCUUUGGGCUUCCGAGGAGCAGGGGGGGAAAAACAAAGCAUGCUUUUGGUCUUACAAGGGGGAGGUGUGUGCUCUUGAGUCAAUAAUGCACAGCAUUGGGAACUUUUCAGCUGAUGGUUGCUUCUGCUCUGGCUCUCUUUUCCACAGGACCUGGUCUGCAGCUGGAGGAAGGAGCAAGUGGUUUCUGCAGUGCUGUUUUUGAAUAAAACAAAUCAUUGAAAAUCA